AUUGAACGCUGGCGGCAUGCUUUACACAUGCAAGUCGAACGGUAACAGGCCGCAAGGUGCUGACGAGUGGCGUACGGGUGAGUAAUGCAGCGGAACGUGCCCAGUCGUGGGGGAUAACUACUCGAAAGAGUAGCUAAUACCGCAUACGAUCUAUGGAUGAAAGCGGGGGACCGUAAGGCCUCGCGCGAUUGGAGCGGCAGAUGUCAGAUUAGGUAGUUGGUGGGGUAAAGGCUCACCAAGCCAACGAUCUGUAGCUGGUCUGAGAGGACAACCAGCCACACUGGGACUGAGACACGGCCCAGACUCCUACGGGAGGCAGCAGUGGGGAAUUUUGGACAAUGGGCGCAAGCCUGAUCCAGCAAUGCCGCGUGCAGGAAGAAGGCCUUCGGGUUGUAAACUGCUUUUGUACGGAACGAAACGGCUCUGGUUAAUACCCGGGGCUAAUGACGGUACCGUAAGAAUAAGCACCGGCUAACUACGUG
rnacentral:rRNA from 1 species